rnacentral:rRNA from 1 species
GCAGCAGUAAGGAAUAUUGGUCAAUGGGCGCAAGCCUGAACCAGCCAUGCCGCGUGCAGGAUGACUGCCCUAUGGGUUGUAAACUGCUUUUGUCGGGGAAUAAACCCACCUACGAGUAGGUGGCUGAACGUACCCGAAAAAUAAGGAUCGGCUAACUCCGUGCCAGCAGCCGCGGUAAUACGGAGGAUCCAAGCGUUAUCCGGAUUUAUUGGGUUUAAAGGGUGCGUAGGCGGUCUUUUAAGUCAGGGGUGAAAUACGGCAGCUCAACUGUCGCAGUGCCCUUGAUACUGAAGGACUUGAAUAUGGUUGAGGUAUGCGGAAUGAGACAAGUAGCGGUGAAAUGCAUAGAUAUGUCUCAGAACACCGAUUGCGAAGGCAGCAUCCCAAGCCAUCAUUGACGCUGAUGCACGAAAGCGUGGGGAUCGAACAGGAUUAGAUACCCUGGUAGUCCACGCCCUAAACGAUGAUAACUCGAUGUUGGCGAUAGACAGUCAGCGUCCAAGCGAAAGCGUUAAGUUAUCCACCUGGGGAGUACGCCCGCAAGGGUGAAACUCAAAGGAAUUGACGG